CCUACGGGAGGCAGCAGUGAGGAAUAUUGGUCAAUGGGCGCGCGCCUGAACCAGCCAAGUAGCGUGAAGGAUGACUGCCCUACGGGUUGUAAACUUCUUUUAUCAAGGAAUAAUGUGAGGCACGUGUGCCUUUUUGUAUGUUCUUUAUGAAUAAGGAUCGGCUAACGCCGUUCCAGCCACCGCGGUAAUACGGAGGAUCCGAGCGUUAUCCGGAUUUAUUGGGUUUAAAGGGAGCGUAGAUGGGUUGUUAAGUCAGUUGUGAAAGUUUGCGGCUCAACCGUAAAAUUGCAAUUGAUACUGGCAGCCUUGAGUACAGUUGAGGUAGGCGGAAUUCGUGGUGUAGCGGUGAAAUGCUUAGAUAUCACGAAGAACUCCGAUUGCGAAGGCAGCUUACUAAACUGCCACUGACAUUGAUGCUCGAAAGUGUGGGUAUCAAACAGGAUUAGAUACCCUUGUAGUC
rnacentral:rRNA from 1 species